rnacentral:lncRNA from 1 species
CUAUUUAUAAAACUAAAAACAUAUCUAGAGGAUAAUUUGCGAGACAAAUCUUUUGAGUCUCAUUAGUCCAUGAUUGAUACUAAUUGUCAAAUAAAACAAAAAUGUUACCGUUCCUAUACCCCUAGACACAAUGAAAGACAGCCGGAGGUAGCGCGCGGCAAAUGUACUGUAGACUCUGUAGUGGAUAUCGUUUGAUGCAGAGGAUUGUUGCAGCUUCCCAUCUCAGUACAGAGAACACAGAAUAGAGUAUUCAGGUAUUCAGCAGAGGCCAUUUAGCUAGCUAGUACGACCAAUCAGUGUAGGUACGGUGCAGCUAAACUAAAAGGUCAGCCAGUAUCAUAUCUUAUCUUAUCAUCACCGUGUUCUAAAGCAUGCAUGCAUUUGCAUUGACACGCCCAAGAUGAAUGGAUCUGCUUGCCGAACUGGCUGUAUUGUCCCGUGAUUUCGUCCCUGAAAAAAAAAAA